GCGCAGCAGGCGAGAAACCUCCGCAAUACACGAAAGUGUGACGGGGCCAUCCCGAGUGCCGUCCGCUGAGGACGGCUUUUUCCCCAGUGUACAUAGCUGGGGGAAUAAGGAGAGGGCAAGCCUGGUGUCAGCCGCCGCGGUAAUACCAGCUCUCCGAGUGGUGGGGACGCUUAUUGGGCCUAAAGCAUCCGUAGCCGGCUGGGCAAGUCCUCCGUUAAAUCCAACGAUUCAAUCGUUGGGCUGCGGGGGAUACUGUCCAGCUUGGGGGCGGGAGAGGCCGGCGGUAUUCCCGGGGUAGGGGUGAAAUCCUAUAAUCCCGGGAGGACCACCAGUGGCGAAGGCUGUCGGCUAGAACGCGCCCGACGGUGAGGGAUGAAAGCUGGGGGGAGCGAACCGGAUUAGAUACCCCU
rnacentral:rRNA from 1 species